UGACAGUACUCCUACGGGGAGGCAGCAGUGGGGGAAUAUUGCACAAUGGGCGCAAGCCUGAUGCAGCCAUGCCGCGUGUGUGAAGAAGGCCUUCGGGUUGUAAAGCACUUUCAGUCGUGAGGAAGGUAGUGUAGUUAAUAGCUGCAUUAUUUGACGUUAGCGACAGAAGAAGCACCGGCUAACUCCGUGCCAGCAGCCGCGGUAAUACGGAGGGUGCGAGCGUUAAUCGGAAUUACUGGGCGUAAAGCGCAUGCAGGUGGUUUGUUAAGUCAGAUGUGAAAGCCCGGGGCGUCAACCUCGGAAUAGCAUUUGAAACUAGGCAGACUAGAGUACUGUAGAGGGGGGUAGGAAUUUCAGGUGUAGCGGUGAAAUGCGUAGAGAUCUGAAGGAAUACCGGUGGCGAAGGCGGCCCCCUCGGACAGAUACUGACACUCAGAUGCGAAAGCGUGGGGAGCAAACAGGAUUAGAUACCCUGGUAG
rnacentral:rRNA from 1 species